rnacentral:lncRNA from 1 species
UUUUUUCGUCCCUUUGUAAUGAAGGCCAAUAGUAUCUUUGACGAACUAGAGCCUCGGUCUUGUCUUGCCCAAAAUGCUUCAUAGUGGUGGACUUGGGAAGUUCGGCUACAACUUGUAGGCGUAGAAAUCUCUCAGGCACACAUAGUGAGUUACCUCGAAAAAGAUAACCAUUGAAGAGUAUAUAAGGGCUGUUUGGAGUCUCAGGGAGUUCCCCUAUCACUUUUGAGAAGUAGGAAUCCGAACCAUAGUGCUUAGGUAGUACUUCAAAGCCGAUAACUUCAUAAGAUAGUGUAGUCAACAAGGUAUGUUUGCGGCUGAGAGCAUCGGCUACCUUGUUGGCUGCCCCGGACUGGGUGUUGAAGGACAAAAGUGAAUUCUUGC